AUUGAACGCUGGCGGCAUGCUUUACACAUGCAAGUCGAACGGCAGCGCGGGCUUCGGCCUGGCGGCGAGUGGCGAACGGGUGAGUAAUACAUCGGAACGUGCCCAGUAGUGGGGGAUAGCUCGGCGAAAGCCGGAUUAAUACCGCAUACGACCUGAGGGUGAAAGCGGGGGAUCUUCGGACCUCGCGCUAUUGGAGCGGCCGAUGGCAGAUUAGCUAGUUGGUGGGGUAAAGGCCUACCAAGGCGACGAUCUGUAGCUGGUUUGAGAGGACGACCAGCCACACUGGGACUGAGACACGGCCCAGACUCCUACGGGAGGCAGCAGUGGGGAAUUUUGGACAAUGGGCGAAAGCCUGAUCCAGCAAUGCCGCGUGUGUGAUGAAGGCCUUCGGGUUGUAAAGCACUUUUGGCGGGAACGAAAAGGACUGUGCCAAUACCACGGUUCGAUGACGGUACCCGCAGAAUAAGCACCGGCUAACUACGUG
rnacentral:rRNA from 1 species